rnacentral:rRNA from 1 species
GAUGAACGCUGGCGGCGUGCCUAAUACAUGCAAGUCGAGCGAACGAACGAGAAGCUUGCUUCUCUGAUGUUAGCGACGGACGGGUGAGUACCACGUGGCUAACCUACCUAUAAGACUGGGGUAACUUCAGGAAACCGGAGCUAAUACCGGUUAAUAUUUUGAACCGCAUGGUUCAAAAGUGAAAGACGGUCUUGCUGUCACUUGUACAUGUAUCCGCGCUGCAUUAGCUAGUUGGUAAGGUAACGGCUUACCAAGGCAACGAUGCAUAGCCGACCUGAGAGGGUGAUCAGCCACACUGGAACUGAGACACGGUCCAGACUCCUACGGGAGGCAGCAGUAGGGAAUCUUGCGCAAUGGGCGAAAGCCUGACGGAGCCACGCCGCGUGAGUGAUGAAGGUCUUCGGAUCGUAAAACUCUGUUAGUAGGGAAGAACAUAUGUGUAAGUAACUCUUCACAUCUUGACGGUACCUAAUCAGAAAGCCACGGCUAACUACGUG